CUUUGUGUUUGUUGCCAGCUGCAGGAAAAGCGUGUGUGUAUCAUGGGUGUUUGAAGGCCUGAAUUUUCGUUAUUUCAAGGGCUUCUACUGUGUUAGUAUGGAAAAAGGAUGAUGAUCAUGACGCUGAUAACAGGACGACGGAUCCUUUCAUAGGAAGGAUACAAAGGCAUAGUGUAGAAGAGUGUUGUCUUUGGCUUUCAGGUGACUGAGUCUACCCUGACAUUGUUUUUGCCUUUGAACAAACUCUGCCUUGGCUGGAGUAAAAAAAAGCAGUCUAGAAAAUAUGAAUACUGCCCUCUGUUGAUGAGUAAGAUCAGUUUGCUAAUGAUGAGUAAAAUUAUUGGACCUCCUUGGAGCUGCUGAAUUUUUGUCCUAGAAAGCAUUGGUUGUCCUUGUUUAUCGUUUGGAAUUAAAGUGUAAUUUGUGCAAUGUGAUAUUGGGAGGUUUCGCACAUGAACGCGUACGGUUAGUGUGACGGAUACGUCAUCAUUUUGACGUCAUACACCACCAGCCAGCCACUAAACGUGUGGAUGACACGCAUAUCUCGCUCUCUACACGUAAGUGAAAAAUGCGUAGGGAAAUUAUUGAUUUCUAGUAAGAUCUUCAUUUAUUUUUUCACAUUUUACGUAAGUGUAAAAAAUAAAUGCAUCUUUGAAUACGUACUGUACGUGCCAUUUUUGUGACAUUUGAAGACAGAAAAUUAUGAUAGGAUGCGUCUCAUUUUGGGGUAUCAAAACAUUGGUGCUUUGACCUUGGUGGUGUCGGGAUUUUGUGCAGGCCUAGGCCUACUUAUAGCCAGGCAUUUUUGGGUCAUAAACAAUAAUAACCAACAUUUUUGGACAACAAAGGAAGUAUUUUUCGGCUACAAUUUUCAAUUUCAAUUUCCAACAAAACCUUAUAUACUAAUGAAACUUUGAGAAGCAUGAU